CAAACCAUAUAAUCUGCUUCUGAAAAAUCUGGAUCCACAUUAUAUCGGAUUUGAAAUAGAAAAUACACAAACUGAUCCUGGAACAGGUUGUCGUGCUUGAAAGCAAAUAAGUGAUCUGACACUGUUGGUCUUGCAUCAAAAGGACACUGGAACCUGCUCUAAGGGGUUCCCAUUGGCCUAUGGUGGGACCACUUGAGGUUCAAAGUGACUUCGAUUGACUAAAACAUUUUAUAUUAAAACAUCAUGAAAAGGAAAUAGACACACAAAACAAACUCAUUGGAUAUUUUGGAGUCGCAUCAACUUAUUACUCAGAAAAUUGAUGGCAUUAUCUUUGUUGUCAUUUUGCUUCAUGAUUGCUCCUGCCAUGAUGAGUGAGCACCUUCCCAAGCAGUACCUGCUAAGAAACAACUGUUUUUGAAGAUUGCUAUGUGACAUCCUCAAGAACAUUUGAGCUGAAGAAAAGCUGUCAUUUUAUCUGAAAGGACAAAUUCAAGCAAAAAGAAAACACCACUGGAGAAGAGAUGCAAAGAGCCACGAUUCAAGUCUGUAAUCCAACCCUGUUGCCCUUUCCAGCUCCUGAGGUUUGAACUGAUUUUUAAUCAAUAUUGUUUCAGUUGGGGUACCUUUUCCAGUAUAACUGAGAAUCUCUGACAAUCCAUAAAAAGAACGGGCUUUGCAAUGAGAACUACUUAGUCAUUUUUAGCUGCUUCUCUUCUUAGCCGUAUCUGAGAUAACCCCUCCUCUUUUACUUGUGUGCUGGGACAGCUCAAAGUUGAGACAAAUGUUCUAGCUGCCUCA